CAAGGUUUUCCUUUGUAAUGUAACAUUCUUCUUGUUUCCAAUGGUUGGUAGAUACUCAGACCAGAUAACCUUUCAUAGUCCAUUUCAGGCUGAAAAUUUUGCGAUCUACCAUCAGAUCACUAAGGUGAGAACCUCGAUUAUUAUUUAGCAUAUGCCCAACAUAAUGGAUAUCACAAAUAAUCUUUGUUUGAAAUCAUAACAGCAACUUGAAUUUGUGUUAUGUUUAGGUUUCCUACUAGUCCAGACGUCACUGCAGCCCAUACACCCCGGAACAGACUGUGAACCACGGUGGGGCCCAUAUGGAAGGAGCCAGCAGAAGCUAAAGAACUUAUCUCCUGAGAGGGUUGGAUUUGAAGAAGUGGAAGCAGGUCUGUAUCAUCCAGAAGAGACUAAGGGAAUGAGCAUGGUAGGGGAUGGUACACAGUGUGCAGUUGGCAGACUCUUGGUGGUCUUCCAUAAAAGAACACUAGUUAGUCAAGAGCAAGGCCAAGUGAAAUGAAAAAGGCAGUCACAAGAGCUACAGCAACAGGAAAAGAUGGUGGACAAACAAAGCAGCCAACUUACAUGAGUCUUCUGAGUUUUCUUUCAACUGUUUCCUUUGUGUACCUUGACUGAACACCACUUCUGUAAUACUGUUAUAGCUGGACAAAUUAGGGAUUGUAGUAAAUAGGUGAAUCCUGUCCAGAUGGCACCAGAGCCAAAUAAUAAUGCCUGCUAAUGCUCAGGAGAUCAUCUGUAAAGUAAUGUAUUUUAAUGAAAUGAAUAUACAUCCUGUUCGGUACUGUUUUCUACUUUCCUAGUCCUUGCAAUGGCACCCAAAGGGAGAGAAGGUAGGUGAUAUGCUAUAUUUACCUAUAUAAUUGGCUUCUUCUAGUCUUCCCUUGCAUUUUAUUUAACAUAUAGGUCUUAUGGUGUACGAGGGGAUUUGGGCAUCCAUCUUCUGGCUUCCGUGGCUUCAGUCAUCACCAUUAACCUUUAAACAUCAUUAUCUUGAAACUAUGACUCACAGAGAUUUUUCCAACCAUCACAGGCAAAUUGAAUAGGAAAUUCCUGUCUCCUUCCACUUUAUCAUUCAUUUCUUACAGUUGUAUAGUGUAGGUUGAUGUCUAUAGGUAGGUAAGGGCUGGCACAUGUUAGGUCAAGCCCAUGAUUGGAUAGUAAAAAUAUAAGGCGGGGACAAAACUUUUGUAAGGUGAAGAGAGAAGGGGAAGGAGGAGGAGAAUCAAGAUGGUGACAGAGAAAGAUGAUCCAGACCUGAGUGGUCUUGAAUUGCCAAGGUAGUUAUGCAUAUUUCUUAAGGGAUGGAUUUCUGUAGGCAAGUUUAACUUAUCUAGAUGGGCUAUUUAUAUUCUUAUCAAUUGGUUGUGAGUUUGUUGUAUGGAUGUAUUGUAGAUUGAGAC
rnacentral:lncRNA from 1 species